CGUCGUCGAAGCUCCUUUAAUCCCACGGACGAUAUUUUCCUGGCGAUUCCCCCGGUGAUUUUUAGUUACCCGAGUAAAUCUCGCAUCCCCCACCGAACCAGAUCACGGCGUCCCAUUAAUUUUGCCUGCCCGAUCUCGCAAUCCCCUGGGCUCGCCGAGCUCGCUCGCCCUGACGGCUACCUCGUCGACAAUCCUUCUCCGCACCAACAACUCUGCAUCACGGCAGCUCCUCCAUGUCGCCAGUGGGCCGUCCCGCCCUCCACUACCCCAACCCUGCUCUCUGCACCGACCUCGCGAGUCGCGACCGCCCUGUUCCCCGCUAGAUCUGCCCUCCACCCUUCCUCCCUAUCGACUUUGUAUGUCUUGGGGAACGAAGCAAUCAGCAGGAUCACAGCCCCCUCCCAUUCCCGUCCGGGUCAUCUGCACCAUAUUCGGAUCUCUCGGCCUGUAGUCCACCACGCCGGAGCACCCCUGUUUAUUGGGGAACGAGGCAAUCACAUGGACCAUUGCAGGACCCCCUGGCCGUGCACUACACUCUAUACGUUCUCAAUCUGGUAGAAAUAAUGAAGCAGACAGAAAAGAUUAUGCUGAAGCAAAAGACGCAUGCACUAAGAAGCAUGACGACACUUGCAUCUGACCCCACGAUGAAGGCGACCUCAUGCUAAAUAAAGGGAAAGCAUUGUAUAAUUGCCUUCUUUCAGGAAGGAAAUUUGUAGCACAUGAAGAUGAUGUAUGAACAAACGAAGCACGAAAACAAACUUAUGUUCGGUUAGAAGCAAAUUAGUUUUGUGAUGGAAACACUUUUGUAUUGCAUAGAAGAACAGUCCUCUUGUGUUGUAAUAAUAAUAAAAGAUACAUGGGACUCAAAAUGUCCUACAUGUAAUUCUUGUUGUAAUGGUAUUUUUCUCGUUGUUGGUUGUUUUCAACAGAGUUGUAAAUUAUUGUCCGUAUCGGUUAAAAUUUGUUUC